rnacentral:rRNA from 1 species
ACUCAAAUGAAUUGACGGGGACCCGCACAAGCAGUGGAUCAUGUGGUUUAAUUCGAUGCUACGCGAAAAACCUUACCACCUCUUGAAUCCCAUUGACCGGUUGAGAAAUUAACCUUUGGAGCAAUCCACAGUGGAGACAGGUGCUGCAUGGCUGUCGUCAGCUCGUGCCGUGAGGCGUUAGGUUAAGUCCUUCAACGAGCGCAACCCUCAUCCUUAUUUGCCAUCGGGUUAAGCCGGGAACUAUAAGGAAACUGCCUGCGACAAGCAGGAGGAAGGUGGGGACGAUGUCAAGUCAUCAUGGCCCUUAUGGGGUGGGCUACACACAUGAUACAAUGGUGGUUACAGCAGGAAGCCAAGCAGCAAUGCGGAGCAAAUCCUUAAAAGCCAUCUCAGUUCAGAUUGAGGGCUGCAACUCGCCCUCAUGAAGUUGGAAUUGCUAGUAAUCGUAGAUCAGCACGCUACGGUGAAUACGUUCUCGGGUCUUGUACACACCGCCCGU